UACGUAGGGUCCGAGCGUUGUCCGGAAUUAUUGGGCGUAAAGGGCGUGUAGGCGGUCUGUUAAGUCUGAUGUGAAAUCCCCUCGCUUAACCUGGGAACUGCAUUCGAGACUGCAUUGCUAGAGUAUGGGAGAGGGAAGUGGAAUUUCCGGUGUAGCGGUGAAAUGCGUAGAUAUCGGAAGGAACAUCAGUGGCGAAAAGCGACUUCCUGGACCAAUACUGACGCUCAUGUGCGAAAGCGUGGGGAGCAAACAGG
rnacentral:rRNA from 1 species